UGUCUAUCAGUUGUGAUGGAUGCUAAAUCUGAUGUAUUUACUGUUUCUUCAGCAGCUUGCUGUAUCUUCAGUAUUUUUUUUUGCUAUUAAAUGUUGGUGCGUCCGAGUGGACUCGAACCACCGACCACCACCA
rnacentral:misc_RNA from 1 species